rnacentral:tRNA from 7 species
GGAGUCGUAGUUCAGUUGGUUAGAACGCCAGCCUGUCACGUUGGAGGUCGCGGGUUCGAGUCCCGUCGGCUCCGCCA